rnacentral:lncRNA from 1 species
AACUGAGCUUUUCCAUGCAGCCAGCAUUAGGGUUUUAAACCCUAAACUGAGCUUUUCCUUUUAGUCAGCAUUAGGGUUUUAAACUCUAAACUGAACUUUUUCCUUUCAGCCAGCAUUAGGGUUUUAAACCCUAAACUGAGCUUUUCCAUGCAAUCAGCAUUAGGGUUUUAAACCCUAAACUGAAUUUUCCUUUUAGUCAGCAUUAGGGUUUUAAACCCUAAACUGAACUUUUUCCUUUUAGUCAGCAUUAGGGUUUUAAACCCUAAACUGAGCUUUUCCAUGCAAUCAGCAUUAGAGUUUUAAACCCUAAACUGAGUUUUUCCUUUUAGUCAGCAUUAGGGUUUUAAACCCUAAACUGAACUUUUUCCUUUCAGCCAGCAUUAGGGUUUUAAACCCUAAACUGAGCUUUUCCAUGCAAUCAACAUUAGGGGUUUAAACCCUAAACUGAGUUUUUCCUUUUAGUCAGCAUUAGGGUUUUAAACCCUAAACUGAACUUUUUCCUUUCAGCCAGCAUUAGGGUUUUAAACCCUAAACUGGGCUUUCCCAUGUGAUCAGCAUUAGAGUUUUAAACCCUAAACUGAAUUUUUCUUUUAAUCAGCAUUAGGGUUUUAAACCCUAAACUGAAUCUUUCUUUAGUCAGCAUUAGGGUUUUACACCCUAAACUGAAUU